ACUAUUUUGGCAGAUUAAUGCUUUAAAUUUAGAAUUUAAUUAUGUAAUGUUUAUUACAAAUAGUA
rnacentral:tRNA from 1 species